rnacentral:rRNA from 1 species
GAUGAACGCUGGCGGCGUGCCUAAUACAUGCAAGUCGAGCGAACGGACGAGAAGCUUGCUUCUCUGAUGUUAGCGGCGGACGGGUGAGUAACACGUGGAUAACCUACCUAUAAGACUGGGAUAACUUCGGGAAACCGGAGCUAAUACCGGAUAAUAUUUUGAACCGCAUGGUUCAAAAGUGAAAGACGGUCUUGCUGUCACUUAUAGAUGGAUCCGCGCUGCAUUAGCUAGUUGGUAAGGUAACGGCUUACCAAGGCAACGAUGCAUAGCCGACCUGAGAGGGUGAUCGGCCACACUGGAACUGAGACACGGUCCAGACUCCUACGGGAGGCAGCAGUAGGGAAUCUUCCGCAAUGGGCGAAAGCCUGACGGAGCAACGCCGCGUGAGUGAUGAAGGUCUUCGGAUCGUAAAACUCUGUUAUUAGGGAAGAACAUAUGUGUAAGUAACUGUGCACAUCUUGACGGUACCUAAUCAGAAAGCCACGGCUAACUACGUGCCAGCAGCCGCGGUAAUACGUAGGUGGCAAGCGUUAUCCGGAAUUUUUGGGGCUUAAGCGCGCGUAGCGGUUUUUUAGUCUGAUGUGAAAGCCCACGGCUCAACCGUGGAGGGUCAUUGGAAACUGGAAAACUUGAGUGCAGAAGAGGAAAGUGGAAUUCCAUGUGUAGCGGUGAAAUGCGCAGAGAUAUGGAGGAACACCAGUGGCGAAGGCGACUUUCUGGUCUGUAACUGACGCUGAUGUGCGAAAGCGUGGGGAUCAAACAGGAUUAGAUACCCUGGUAGUCCACGCCGUAAACGAUGAGUGCUAAGUGUUAGGGGGUUUCCGCCCCUUAGUGCUGCAGCUAACGCAUUAAGCACUCCGCCUGGGGAGUACGACCGCAAGGUUGAAACUCAAAGGAAUUGACGGGGACCCGCACAAGCGGUGGAGCAUGUGGUUUAAUUCGAAGCAACGCGAAGAACCUUACCAAAUCUUGACAUCCUUUGACAACUCUAGAGAUAGAGCUUUCCCCUUCGGGGGACAAAGUGACAGGUGGUGCAUGGUUGUCGUCAGCUCGUGUCGUGAGAUGUUGGGUUAAGUCCCGCAACGAGCGCAACCCUUAAGCUUAGUUGCCAUCAUUAAGUUGGGCACUCUAAGUUGACUGCCGGUGACAAACCGGAGGAAGGUGGGGAUGACGUCAAAUCAUCAUGCCCCUUAUGAUUUGGGCUACACACGUGCUACAAUGGACAAUACAAAGGGCAGCGAAACCGUGAGGUCAAGCAAAUCCCAUAAAGUUGUUCUCAGUUCGGAUUGUAGUCUGCAACUCGACUACAUGAAGCUGGAAUCGCUAGUAAUCGUAGAUCAGCAUGCUACGGUGAAUACGUUCCCGGGUCU